UACGGAGGGGGCUAGCGUUGUUCGGAAUUACUGGGCGUAAAGCGUACGUAGGCGGCUUUGUAAGUUAGAGGUGAAAGCCCGGGGCUCAACCCCGGAAUUGCCUUUAAGACUGCAUCGCUUGAAUCAUGGAGAGGUGAGUGGAAUUCCGAGUGUAGAGGUGAAAUUCGUAGAUAUUCGGAAGAACACCAGUGGCGAAGGCGACUGACUGGACAAGUAUUGACGCUGAGGUGCGAAAGCGUGGGGAGCAAACACGG
rnacentral:rRNA from 1 species